GAUGAAGAACGCAGCGAAAUGCGAUACGUAAUGUGAAUUGCAGAAUUCAGUGAAUCAUCGAAUCUUUGAACGCACAUUGCGCCUGCCAGCACUCUGGCAGGCAUGCCUGUUCGAGCGUCAUUUCAACCAUCAAGCCCUAGGCUUGCGUUGGAGCCCUGCGGCUGCCGCAGGCCCCUAAAAGCAGUGGCGGGCUCGCUAGUCACACCGAGCGCAGUAGCACAUCUCGCUCAGGGCGUGCGGCGGGCUCCAGCCGUUAAAGCACCCACCUUUCGCAAGGUUGACCUCGGAUCAGGUAGGAAUACCCGCUGAACUUAAGCAUAUCAAUAAGCGGAGGA
rnacentral:misc_RNA from 1 species